UACAGAGGGGGCAAGCGUUAUUCGGAAUUAUUGGGCGUAAAGGGCGCGUAGGCGGCCUGGCAAGUGGAAGGUGAAAUCCCUCGGCUUAACCGAGGAACUGCCUCCCAAACUGCUAGGCUUGAGACCAGGAGAGGUGAGUGGAAUUCCCAGUGUAGCGGUGAAAUGCGUAGAUAUUGGGAGGAACACCAGUGGCGAAGGCGGCUCACUGGACUGGUACUGACGCUGAGGCGCGAAAGCGUGGGGAGCAAACGGG
rnacentral:rRNA from 1 species